rnacentral:rRNA from 1 species
CCUACGGGAGGCAGCAGUGAGGAAUAUUGGUCAAUGGACGAGAGUCUGAACCAGCCAAGUAGCGUGAAGGAUGACUGCCCUAUGGGUUGUAAACUUCUUUUAUAUGGGAAUAAAACGUUCCACGUGUGGGAUUUUGUAUGUACCAUAUGAAUAAGGAUCGGCUAACUCCGUGCCAGCAGCCGCGGUAAUACGGAGGAUCCGAGAGUUAUCCGGAUUUAUUGGGUUUAAAGGGCGCGUAGGUGGAUUGUUAAGUCAGUUGUGAAAGUUUGCGGCUCAACCGUAAAAUUGCAGUUGAAACUGGCAGUCUUGAGUACAGUAGAGGUGGGCGGAAUUCGUGGUGUAGCGGUGAAAUGCUUAGAUAUCACGAAGAACUCCGAUUGCGAAGGCAGUUCACUGGACUGCAACUGACACUGAGGCUCGAAAGUGUGGGUAUCAAACAGGAUUAGAUACCCCUGUAGUC